UGCAGUAUUUUGCCUGCUGUCUGCACUUUUUAUAAUUAAUUUGUCAUUUCUUUGCACGCACACGAAUUUCUGUAACUUUACAAUUAAAUUCACACGGGUUUAACGCAUCAAAUGCCACUACAGCGCCGUUGAUGAGCAUGCGCCGCCUUAAAAGGUGCUUUGUGAAACACGCAAUUGGACGAUGGACAAUUGACGAAUUAUGUUUAUAUUUUAAUCGUUUUUCACAAAUUGCACACGAUGUGUAGAUUGCCGGAUAUGCGGAGAAAGAUUCCGGACGAACCAACCUUAAGCGAACAGCGUGACCGCAAGUUGAGUUUCGAAAUUUACGUUUUAAUGCAUAAAUAUACCAAAUUGCAGACAUCCCCAUAGCAGCGACAUGGUAACACUUCAUAUGGUAUAUUAGUAUUUUUCCAAAACGCGGGUGAAAAGACGCGUACAAGUUUAGAAGUCGUGAAGAAUAUUUCUUCUCAGCGUGUAGUGGAACAAUUUCGAAAACUAUGAUAAAGUAUCUAAAUAAA